GUYAAUCUGCUCAAUGAAUUUAUUUAAAUAGCUGCAGUAUAUUGACUGUACUAAGGUAGCAUAAUCAAUUGUCUUUUAAUUGAAGAAUGGAAUGAAAGAAUAUAUGCUGUUUCARUUAAAAUUAAGUAAUUGAAAUUUUUAGUUAAAAUGCUAAAAUUAAAUUAUGGGACGAUAAGACCCUAUAGAAUUCUAUAUUAAUUUAAUAGUAAUUAACUAAUUAUUUAAUUAAUAUUAUUAAAUUAAUAUUUAAUUGGGAGGAUUUAUAAAUUUAAUAAACUUUAUAUAAUUAUUAAACUUUGAUUUAAGAAUAUCUAAAUUUGAUAUAAUAACAUUAAUUAAAAAAAUAAAUUACCUUACAGRUAAUAGCGUAAUAUCUUUUUAGAGAACAAAUUAAUAAAGAUGAUUGCGACCUCGAUGUUGAAGUAAGAUAAAUUUUAAAUGUAGAAAUUUAAAAAUUAAGUCUGAUCGACUUAUAAAAUCUUACAUGAUUUGAGUUC
rnacentral:rRNA from 1 species